UUCUGGUUGGUAAUAAAUGUGACUUGGA
rnacentral:piRNA from 1 species